rnacentral:lncRNA from 12 species
UCCUCAGCUUCAUAGAGGCCUGUAUCUAAAGUAAUGAAAACAAGCACUUUUUUAGGGGGAAAAAAAAAAAAAGCCCUGAGUAUUGUAGGUGUAUGUCUCAUUCCUUAAAACCUGCCAGUACUUUGUCACUGAAGAAAUUAAAAAUGCCAGCACUGGCAAUGGGAAGUGUGCUGAUAUAAAAGUGAGUUGCUUGGCAACAGAUUAACUUAUUUAAAACUUUUACCGCUGCUUUGACAAACAGGCUGAAAAAAGAAAUAUGAAGGCAACAGUAAAAUCCUCCGGAUCAGAACUCCCAGGUGACCCUCCGAAGUAGAAGACUCACUGGCCUACAUGCUGAAGCUGUGAGUUUGCAAACUGCAUUUGCCAAGCACCCUGGCCAGUGGGUUUCCUAUUAGAUUCAGACAGUGAGAGGUGCUGGCUGCAGACUGCCCGGCAGGGGAGAGAAACAGGAGGUCUGUGCCUCUGACAGUGGUGAAGCUGCUGGAUAGAGCUGGGCAUAUCAUCAGGGGAUUGCAGAUUCCAGGGGCUGGAGUAGAAGCAGACUCUUUUGUAGCUUCAGCCAUGGCCCACACGGUGCCCUGGGGAGAGACUCAGGAUUGGCUGCUAGAAGUGUCUCUAAAAGCUCAGUAACAGAGGUAGACCUGAGGACUUCAGUUCCAUGGUGUCAGUGUGUCCUGCUCUCCAGGGGGCCAUUUCCUCAAACCUGAAGUUCAGAAGAGGGAAGGCUGUGUUUUACCCGGGACUCCCUUGGCCACUGCUGGUGGAAAAAAACAUUAUGCCUCCCAUCCAAGUACUAACCAGGAGAUGCUGUGAAAUGUUAAGUAAGGAACUCGAAGCACCUAGCACAGAAAACUCACUUUGGAGCCCUGAUCCAUCACAUAAGAAAUGCAGCUGUUCUGAAGCCUCCAUGCCUCUCCCCAACACCAUAGAUGGGAAAUUCUCUAAAGAAGGAAAAACUGGCUUUGGAAGAGAAUGGUCAUUACCCAGGAACUUCAUUUUGAUGUGACAUCCUCU